GCGGGACACGUGGUAUCCUGUCUGAAUAUGGGGGGACCAUCCUCCAAGGCUAAAUACUCCUGACUGACCGAUAGUGAACCAGUACCGUGAGGGAAAGGCGAAAAGAACCCCGGCGAGGGGAGUGAAAAAGAACCUGAAACCGUGUACGUACAAGCAGUGGGAGCCUCUUAAUGGGGUGACUGCGUACCUUUUGUAUAAUGGGUCAGCGACUUAUAUUCUGUAGCAAGGUUAACCGAAUAGGGGAGCCGAAGGGAAACCGAGUCUUAACUGGGCGUUAAGUUGCAGGGUAUAGACCCGAAACCCGGUGAUCUAGCCAUGGGCAGGUUGAAGGUUGGGUAACACUAACUGGAGGACCGAACCGACUAAUGUUGAAAAAUUAGCGGAUGACUUGUGGCUGGGGGUGAAAGGCCAAUCAAACCGGGAGAUAGCUGGUUCUCCCCGAAAGCUAUUUAGGUAGCGCCUCGUGAAUUCAUCUCCGGGGGUAGAGCACUGUUUCGGCAAGGGGGUCAUCCCGACUUACCAACCCGAUGCAAACUGCGAAUACCGGAGAAUGUUAUCACGGGAGACACACGGCGGGUGCUAACGUCCGUCGUGAAGAGGGAAACAACCCAGACCGCCAGCUAAGGUCCCAAAGUCAUGGUUAAGUGGGAAACGAUGUGGGAAGGCCCAGACAGCCAGGAUGUUGGCUUAGAAGCAGCCAUCAUUUAAAGAAAGCGUAAUAGCUCACUGGUCGAGUCGGCCUGCGCGGAAGAUGUAACGGGGCUAAACCAUGCACCGAAGCUGCGGCAGCGACACUAUGUGUUGUUGGGUAGGGGAGCGUUCUGUAAGCCUGUGAAGGUGGCCUGUGAGGGUUGCUGGAGGUAUCAGAAGUGCGAAUGCUGACAUAAGUAACGAUAAAGCGGGUGAAAAGCCCGCUCGCCGGAAGACCAAGGGUUCCUGUCCAACGUUAAUCGGGGCAGGGUGAGUCGACCCCUAAGGCGAGGCCGAAAGGCGUAGUCGAUGGGAAACAGGUUAAUAUUCCUGUACUUGGUGUUACUGCGAAGGGGGGACGGAGAAGGCUAUGUUGGCCGGGCGACGGUUGUCCCGGUUUAAGCGUGUAGGCUGGUUUUCCAGGCAAAUCCGGAAAACCAAGGCUGAGGCGUGAUGACGAGGCACUACGGUGCUGAAGCGACAAAUGCCCUGCUUCCAGGAAAAGCCUCUAAGCAUCAGGUAACAUCAAAUCGUACCCCAAACCGACACAGGUGGUCAGGUAGAGAAUACCAAGGCGCUUGAGAGAACUCGGGUGAAGGAACUAGGCAAAAUGGUGCCGUAACUUCGGGAGAAGGCACGCUGAUAUGUAGGUGAAGCGACUUGCUCGUGGAGCUGAAAUCAGUCGAAGAUACCAGCUGGCUGCAACUGUUUAUUAAAAACACAGCACUGUGCAAACACGAAAGUGGACGUAUACGGUGUGACGCCUGCCCGGUGCCGGAAGGUUAAUUGAUGGGGUUAGCGGUAACGCGAAGCUCUUGAUCGAAGCCCCGGUAAACGGCGGCCGUAACUAUAACGGUCCUAAGGUAGCGAAAUUCCUUGUCGGGUAAGUUCCGACCUGCACGAAUGGCGUAAUGAUGGCCAGGCUGUCUCCACCCGAGACUCAGUGAAAUUGAACUCGCUGUGAAGAUGCAGUGUACCCGCGGCAAGACGGAAAGACCCCGUGAACCUUUACUAUAGCUUGACACUGAACAUUGAGCCUUGAUGUGUAGGAUAGGUGGGAGGCUUUGAAGUGUGGACGCCAGUCUGCAUGGAGCCGACCUUGAAAUACCACCCUUUAAUGUUUGAUGUUCUAACGUUGGCCCGUAAUCCGGGUUGCGGACAGUGUCUGGUGGGUAGUUUGACUGGGGCGGUCUCCUCCUAAAGAGUAACGGAGGAGCACGAAGGUUGGCUAAUCCUGGUCGGACAUCAGGAGGUUAGUGCAAUGGCAUAAGCCAG
rnacentral:rRNA from 1 species